rnacentral:antisense_RNA from 1 species
CUUCACGGAGCCGAGCCACAGUGGGCGGUCGGCGGGCCGGUCCUGCCCGUAGGUGGCGAGCAGGGCGCCGGCUUCGA